rnacentral:misc_RNA from 1 species
AAGUCGUAACAAGGUUUCCGUAGGUGAACCUGCGGAAGGAUCAUUAACAAAGUUUAUUGGUAUGUUUUACUUUUUUUGCUUUCAAAAAAAGUAAAACAUCACCACUUAUCCACCUUUGUGCACUUGUUUAUUGUUUUUGGCGUUAUCUUCCUUUGCUUUUGUUUUUAUUUAUUAAAAUCAAGGGAAAAAGAGAAGAUGCGCCGCACAAUAUUAUAUUACCCAUAGUUAUUUUAUACCGUACUUUUCACUUGCUUGUGCUUUCAAUGGCCAAGUAUAUUUAAUGAAAAAUACAACUUUUGACAACGGAUCUCUUGGCUCUC